rnacentral:tRNA from 1 species
GAGGCUAUAGCUUAGAGGUAGAGUGCAUGCCUAGCAUGUGUGAGGUCCUGGGUUCAAUCCCCAGUACCAUCA